rnacentral:rRNA from 1 species
GGGUUGUGAGGUUAAGCGACUAAGCGUACACGGUGGAUGCCCUGGCAGUCAGAGGCGAUGAAGGGCNNNNNNNNNNNNNNNAAGCGCCGGUAAGGUGAUAUGAACCGUUAUAACCGGCGAUACCCGAAUGGGGAAACCCAGUGUGAUUCGUCACACUAUCAUUAACUGAAUCCAUAGGUUAAUGAGGCGAACCGGGGGAACUGAAACAUCUAAGUACCCCGAGGAAAAGAAAUCAACCGAGAUUCCCCCAGUAGCGGCGAGCGAACGGGGAGGAGCCCAGAGCCUGAAUCAGCAUGUGUGUUAGUGGAAGCGUCUGGAAAGGCGCGCGAUACAGGGUGACAGCCCCGUACACAAAAGCGCAUGUGCUGUGAGCUCGAUGAGUAGGGCGGGACACGUGGUAUCCUGUCUGAAUAUGGGGGGACCAUCCUCCAAGGCUAAAUACUCCUGACUGACCGAUAGUGAACCAGUACCGUGAGGGAAAGGCGAAAAGAACCCCGGCGAGGGGAGUGAAAAAGAACCUGAAACCGUGUACGUACAAGCAGUGGGAGCACCCUUUGGGUGUGACUGCGUACCUUUUGUAUAAUGGGUCAGCGACUUAUAUUCUGUAGCAAGGUUAACCGAAUAGGGGAGCCGGAGGGAAACCGAGUCUUAAUUGGGCGUUAAGUUGCAGGGUAUAGACCCGAAACCCGGUGAUCUAGCCAUGGGCAGGUUGAAGGUUGGGUAACACUAACUGGAGGACCGAACCGACUAAUGUUGAAAAAUUAGCGGAUGACCUGUGGCUGGGGGUGAAAGGCCAAUCAAACCGGGAGAUAGCUGGUUCUCCCCGAAAGCUAUUUAGGUAGCGCCUCGUGAAUUCAUCUCCGGGGGUAGAGCACUGUUUCGGCUAGGGGGCCAUCCCGGCUUACCAACCCGAUGCAAACUGCGAAUACCGGAGAAUGUUAUCACGGGAGACACACGGCGGGUGCUAACGUCCGUCGUGAAGAGGGAAACAACCCAGACCGCCAGCUAAGGUCCCAAAGUCAUGGUUAAGUGGGAAACGAUGUGGGAAGGCCCAGACAGCCAGGAUGUUGGCUUAGAAGCAGCCAUCAUUUAAAGAAAGCGUAAUAGCUCACUGGUCGAGUCGGCCUGCGCGGAAGAUGUAACGGGGCUAAACCAUGCACCGAAGCUGCGGCAGCGACACUGUGUGUUGUUGGGUAGGGGAGCGUUCUGUAAGCCUGCGAAGGUGGCCUGUGAGGGUUGCUGGAGGUAUCAGAAGUGCGAAUGCUGACAUAAGUAACGAUAAAGCGGGUGAAAAGCCCGCUCGCCGGAAGACCAAGGGUUCCUGUCCAACGUUAAUCGGGGCAGGGUGAGUCGACCCCUAAGGCGAGGCCGAAAGGCGUAGUCGAUGGGAAACGGGUUAAUAUUCCCGUACUUGGUGUUACUGCGAAGGGGGGACGGAGAAGGCUAUGUUGGCCGGGCGACGGUUGUCCCGGUUUAAGCGUGUAGGUGUGUGUUCCAGGUAAAUCCGGUUCACUUUAACACUGAGGCGUGACGACGAGGCACUACGGUGCUGAAGCAACAAAUGCCCUGCUUCCAGGAAAAGCCUCUAAGCAUCAGGUAACAUCAAAUCGUACCCCAAACCGACACAGGUGGUCAGGUAGAGAAUACCAAGGCGCUUGAGAGAACUCGGGUGAAGGAACUAGGCAAAAUGGUGCCGUAACUUCGGGAGAAGGCACGCUGACACGUAGGUGAAGUGAUUUACUCAUGGAGCUGAAGUCAGUCGAAGAUACCAGCUGGCUGCAACUGUUUAUUAAAAACACAGCACUGUGCAAACACGAAAGUGGACGUAUACGGUGUGACGCCUGCCCGGUGCCGGAAGGUUAAUUGAUGGGGUCAGCGCAAGCGAAGCUCCUGAUCGAAGCCCCGGUAAACGGCGGCCGUAACUAUAACGGUCCUAAGGUAGCGAAAUUCCUUGUCGGGUAAGUUCCGACCUGCACGAAUGGCGUAAUGAUGGCCAGGCUGUCUCCACCCGAGACUCAGUGAAAUUGAACUCGCUGUGAAGAUGCAGUGUACCCGCGGCAAGACGGAAAGACCCCGUGAACCUUUACUAUAGCUUGACACUGAACAUUGAGCCUUGAUGUGUAGGAUAGGUGGGAGGCUUUGAAGUGUGGACGCCAGUCUGCAUGGAGCCGACCUUGAAAUACCACCCUUUAAUGUUUGAUGUUCUAACGUGGACCCGUUACCCGGGUUGCGGACAGUGUCUGGUGGGUAGUUUGACUGGGGCGGUCUCCUCCUAAAGAGUAACGGAGGAGCACGAAGGUUGGCUAAUCCUGGUCGGACAUCAGGAGGUUAGUGCAAUGGCAUAAGCCAGCUUGACUGCGAGCGUGACGGCGCGAGCAGGUGCGAAAGCAGGUCAUAGUGAUCCGGUGGUUCUGAAUGGAAGGGCCAUCGCUCAACGGAUAAAAGGUACUCCGGGGAUAACAGGCUGAUACCGCCCAAGAGUUCAUAUCGACGGCGGUGUUUGGCACCUCGAUGUCGGCUCAUCACAUCCUGGGGCUGAAGUAGGUCCCAAGGGUAUGGCUGUUCGCCAUUUAAAGUGGUACGCGAGCUGGGUUUAGAACGUCGUGAGACAGUUCGGUCCCUAUCUGCCGUGGGCGCUGGAGAACUGAGGGGGGCUGCUCCUAGUACGAGAGGACCGGAGUGGACGCAUCACUGGUGUUCGGGUUGUCAUGCCAAUGGCACUGCCCGGUAGCUAAAUGCGGAAGAGAUAAGUGCUGAAAGCAUCUAAGCACGAAACUUGCCCCGAGAUGAGUUCUCCCUGAGACUUAAAGUCUCCUGAAGGAACGUUGAAGACGACGACGUUGAUAGGCCGGGUGUGUAAGCGCAGCGAUGCGUUGAGCUAACCGGUACUAAUGAACCGUGAGGCUUAACCUUACAACGCCGAAG